rnacentral:rRNA from 1 species
UACGGGGGGGGCAAGCGUUGUUCGGAAUUACUGGGCGUAAAGGGCUCGUAGGCGGCCAACUAAGUCAGACGUGAAAUCCCUCGGCUUAACCGGGGAACUGCAUCUGAUACUGGAUGGCUUGAGUUCGGGAGAGGGAUGCGGAAUUCCAGGUGUAGCGGUGAAAUGCGUAGAUAUCUGGAGGAACACCGGUGGCGAAGGCGGCAUCCUGGACCAAUUCUGACGCUGAGGAGCGAAAGCCAGGGGAGCAAACGGG